rnacentral:rRNA from 1 species
AUUGAACGCUGGCGGCAGGCCUAACACAUGCAAGUCGAGCGGAGCGGCGGACGGGUGAGUAAUGCCUAGGAAUCGGCCUGGUAGUGGGGGAUAACGUCCGGAAACGGGCGCUAAUACCGCAUACUAUAAGAUGAGCAUGGGUCUGAUUAGCUAGUUGGGGGGGUAAAGGCCUACAAAGGCGACGAUCCGUAACUGGUCUGAGAGGAUGAUCAGUCACACUGGAACUGAGACACUGUCCAGACUCCUACGGUAGGCAGCAGUGGGGAAUAUUGGACAAUGGGCGAAAGCCUGAUCCAGCCAUGCCGCGUGUGUGAAGAAGGUCUUCGUAUUUUAAAGCACUUUAAGUUGGGAGGCGUUACCAACAGAAUAAGCACCGGCUAACUUCGUGCCAGCAGCCGCGGUAAUAC